UACGAAGGGGCUAGCGUUGCUCGGAAUCACUGGGCGUAAAGCGCACGUAGGCGGCUUUUAAGUCAGGGGUGAAUCCUGGAGCUCAACUCCAGAACUGCCUUUGAUACUGAGAGCUUGAGUCCGGGAGAGGUGAGUGGAACUGCGAGUGUAGAGGUGAAAUUCGUAGAUAUUCGCAAGAACACCAGUGGCGAAGGCGGCUCACUGGCCCGGUACGUGACGCUGAGGUGCGAAAGCGUGGGGAGCAACAGGG
rnacentral:rRNA from 1 species